rnacentral:rRNA from 1 species
GGGUUGUGAGGUUAAGCGACUAAGCGUACACGGUGGAUGCCCUGGCAGUCAGAGGCGAUGAAGGGCGUGCUAAUCUGCGAUAAGCGCCGGUAAGGUGAUAUGAACCGUUAUAACCGGCGAUACCCGAAUGGGGAAACCCAGUGUGACUCGUCACACUAUCAUUAACUGAAUCCAUAGGUUAAUGAGGCGAACCGGGGGAACUGAAACAUCUAAGUACCCCGAGGAAAAGAAAUCAACCGAGAUUCCCCCAGUAGCGGCGAGCGAACGGGGAGGAGCCCAGAGCCUGAAUCAGCAUGUGUGUUAGUGGAAGCGUCUGGAAAGGCGCGCGAUACAGGGUGACAGCCCCGUACACAAAAGCGCAUGUGCUGUGAGCUCGAUGAGUAGGGCGGGACACGUGGUAUCCUGUCUGAAUAUGGGGGGACCAUCCUCCAAGGCUAAAUACUCCUGACUGACCGAUAGUGAACCAGUACCGUGAGGGAAAGGCGAAAAGAACCCCGGCGAGGGGAGUGAAAAAGAACCUGAAACCGUGUACGUACAAGCAGUGGGAGCACAGGUUUACCUGUGUGACUGCGUACCUUUUGUAUAAUGGGUCAGCGACUUAUAUUCUGUAGCAAGGUUAACCGAAUAGGGGAGCCGGAGGGAAACCGAGUCUUAAUUGGGCGUUAAGUUGCAGGGUAUAGACCCGAAACCCGGUGAUCUAGCCAUGGGCAGGUUGAAGGUUGGGUAACACUAACUGGAGGACCGAACCGACUAAUGUUGAAAAAUUAGCGGAUGACCUGUGGCUGGGGGUGAAAGGCCAAUCAAACCGGGAGAUAGCUGGUUCUCCCCGAAAGCUAUUUAGGUAGCGCCUCGUGAAUUCAUCUCCGGGGGUAGAGCACUGUUUCGGCUAGGGGGCCAUCCCGGCUUACCAACCCGAUGCAAACUGCGAAUACCGGAGAAUGUUAUCACGGGAGACACACGGCGGGUGCUAACGUCCGUCGUGAAGAGGGAAACAACCCAGACCGCCAGCUAAGGUCCCAAAGUCAUGGUUAAGUGGGAAACGAUGUGGGAAGGCCCAGACAGCCAGGAUGUUGGCUUAGAAGCAGCCAUCAUUUAAAGAAAGCGUAAUAGCUCACUGGUCGAGUCGGCCUGCGCGGAAGAUGUAACGGGGCUAAACCAUGCACCGAAGCUGCGGCAGCGAACAAUAGCUCACUGGUCGAGUCGGCCUGCGCGGAAGAUGUAACGGGGCUAAACCAUGCACCGAAGCUGCGGCAGCGAACGUAUCACUUAAAGCGAUUCAGCGGGUUACGAUUGACGGAGCGAAGCGACGUCAAAGCGUAUACAAAGUCGAGUCGGUUUAAGGAUACGUUCGUUGGGUAGGGGAGCGUUCUGUAAGCCUGUGAAGGUGGUCUGUGAGGCAUGCUGGAGGUAUCAGAAGUGCGAAUGCU